UACGUAGGGGGCAAGCGUUGUCCGGAAUCAUUGGGCGUAAAGAGCGCGUAGGCGGCCCGGUAAGUCCGCUGUGAAAGUCCAGGGCUCAACCCUGGGAUGCCGGUGGAUACUGUCGGGCUUGAGUCCGGAAGAGGAGUGUGGAAUUCCUGGUGUAGCGGUGAAAUGCGCAGAUAUCAGGAGGAACACCAAUGGCGAAGGCAGCUCGCUGGGACGUUACUGACGCUGAGACGCGAAAGCGUGGGGAGCAAACAGG
rnacentral:rRNA from 1 species